GGCUUCCCCAGGCGUGGGGGGGGGCAUCACGCAGCCCUCAGCGCCUGACCCUCCAGCCCAAGGCGGCUUCCUCCCCACCUUCCUUCUCCUUGCCCUCCACACCACCCGCCCCUUCUUCUCCCACAGUUCCGGCUCGGGCGCCGCAUCGCCGCCCCCGCGCGGGAGCUCUCCGGGCGGGGGCGGUUCGCAGCGGCGCGGGGCGGCACGGGGAGGGAGAGGGAGGGGCGGGGCCGCGCUGCUACGUCACAGCCGCGAGAGGGGAUCCUGGGCGCAGGCCCCGCCCCCUCACGUGCCCAGGGCGCAGGGCCGCGUGCCGCCCGCGUGACCUGCAGGCCCUGCCCGGCCGCCGCCUCCGCUGCUGUUAGGCUUCCACGCGUGGGAGGGAGGCCGUGACGCGGGGGGCGGCUGGCUUAAGGAGGCUGCAGGAAAGUCUUCCUUAGUGGCCGCGUCCCUGUCCCAGGCCUUGGUACCCUGGCCGUACCAGGAGCUCUGUGUGGAGAGCUCUGUGUCCGCCUGGAUUUGAGAAAAGGGGGUCUCCCCUCCCUACGCCCUCUGCCCCUGCAUUCCACGCUUAAGAGAAGGAGCCAGGAAAUGACAAGCAGAGCAUUUGGAAAGAAGCAGUGAGGGGUGGAGACCACGGACAGACCAACCCCCAAAUUGAGCGUCCCCACACAGAGUCGAAGGAAACCCAUUAUCUGUGCCUUUGUAACGUGUCCUUAAGUGACCCAUUUGCCUGCAAGGUGUCAGGGAUGACAUCACUAUUAGAAAAUCUAAGAUUGGUGCUGAAGAUAUUUUUCAGACCCUACAGUUGAUGGAUCAGCUGGCGUUACCCAGAUUGAUAAACUGGCUGUCUGGUCCUGUGGCCCCUACCCAGGAACCUACUUCGCGCAAGAGGACAACUUUGACACCGUCUGAUUUUGUCUCUGACAAACCAAUCAGCACUCCCCACUCCCUAGCCCUCUACCCAUCAAAGUAUCCUUUAAAAACCUUAGUCUGGAAUUUUCAGGGAGGCUGAUUUGAGUCAUAAUAAAACUCUGUUCUCCUGAUCAGCCGGCGCAGU